rnacentral:lncRNA from 10 species
AAAAACAAACAGUUAAGCGAUGGCUUUGAUGCACUGAGAGGAAAGGCCAUCGGGGAUAUGGCAAGAAUGUGGACCUCAGCAAGCCAGGCAGAGAGCCUUUACUGGGAACUGAAUUGGCCAGCACCUCUAUCUGGGACAUUUAGCCUCUAGAAUUGUGAGAAAAUAGAUUUCUAUUGUUUAAGCCACCCAGUCUAUGGUGUUUUGUUAUGGCAGCCAAGCUGACUAACACAGAAGGGGAGAGAAGAAAAGAGAAGAGGAGGAAGAAAAAAAGAAAGAUUAAAAAGAGGCAUGAGAAAACUUUUGGGGGUGAUGGAUGUAUUCAUUAUCUUGAUCUCAUUCAAUCUAUAGACCAAUGUGAGGAGAACUGACAUGUUAACAGUAUUGUGUGUAAUCGGUAGACAUCAUAUAUGCCCACAUUUAUUUAGGUCUCUUUAAUUCUAUUUUUUUUGGGUGGUGGGGGGGUGGAUGGAGUCUCGGUCUGUUGCCCAGGCUGGAGUGCAGUGGCACAAUCUUGGCUCACUGCAACCUCAGCCCCAUGGGUUCAAGCAAUUCUCCUGCCUCAGCCUUUUAAAUAGCUGGGACUACAGGCAUGCACCAGCGUGCCUGGCUAACUUUUUUGUAUUUUUAGUAGAG